ensembl:lncRNA
UAGCAAGUAAAUGUGAUUCACUGCAGUGCAGAGUCUUGACACAGAAUUGAGACCAAGGCUUAUGUGAUCAUAUCAUUGAGUCCAUUUGUGUAAUUGCCAGCAGUGGCUAGAAAUAUUAGCAAUCUCAGGGUCAUAACAUACUCACCGGGGCAGCACAAGGGAGGAUUAUUUUCAUGUGAUGCAAGUGACGACAAGAAUGUUUGUGCAGAGGCAGAAAGGUACAGAGACAGAGAGAGGCAGAAAGGUUCAGAGACUCAGAGACACAGAGAGGCAGAAAGGUACAGAGACACAGAGACACAGAGAGGCAGAAAGGUACAGAGACACAGAGAGGCAGAAAGGUUGAGAGACACAGAGGGUUAGAGAGGCAGAAAGGUUGAGAGACACAGAGAGGCAGAAAGAUUCAGAGACACAAAGAGGCAGAGAGGCAGAAAGGUUCAGACACAGAGAUGCAGAAAGGAUCAGAGACACAGAGCUACAGAGGCAGAAAGGUUGAGAGACUCAGAGAGGUUGAGAGACACAGAGCUAAAGAGGCAGAAAGGUUGAGAGACUCAGAGAGGUUGAGAGACACAGAGCUAAAGAGGCAGAAAGGUGCAGAGACACAGAGGGCUACAGAGGCAGAAAGGUUCAGAGACUCAGAGACACAGAGAGAGGCAGAAAGGUGCAGAGACACGGAGAGGCAGAAAGGUUGAGAGACACAGAGAGGCAGAAAGGUGCAGACACAGAGGGCUACAGAGCAAUGAACAGACUUCCAGUUUCAACUCACCCUGGAAACUUUCCUGCGUGCUCUGGGCCGCUUCCCUCGUAUUACUCCCUGCCAGCAGGUGUCCCAGUGAGCGUCCCACCCUAAUGUGUGAAUGAUUGGAAACGGUAGGAGGUGAAGUGGGGGGAUAUGUGCUUUGAGAGAGGAAACCUGCUCUCAGGAUGUGAGGUGGAUUUAACUGCUAUGACAUCCUUUUACAAAUAAACGGUCG